rnacentral:rRNA from 1 species
GACGAACGCUGGCGGCGUGCUUAACACAUGCAAGUCGAACGGAAAGGCCCUGCUUUUGUGGGGUGCUCGAGUGGCGAACGGGUGAGUAACACGUGAGUAACCUGCCCUUGACUUUGGGAUAACUUCAGGAAACUGGGGCUAAUACCGGAUAGGAGCUCCUGCUGCAUGGUGGGGGUUGGAAAGUUUCGGCGGUUGGGGAUGGACUCGCGGCUUAUCAGCUUGUUGGUGUGGUAGUGGCUUACCAAGGCUUUGACGGGUAGCCGGCCUGAGAGGGGGACCGGCCACAUUGGGACUGAGAUACGGCCCAGACUCCUACGGGAGGCAGCAGUGGGGAAUAUUGCACAAUGGGCGGGAGCCUGAUGCAGCAACGCCGCGUGCGGGAUGACGGCCUUCGGGGUGUAAACCGCUUUCGAAUGUGACGAAGCGUGAGUGACGGUAAUGGGUAAAGAAGCACCGGCUAACUACGUG